rnacentral:tRNA from 1 species
AUUUUAAUAGCUUAUAAAGAGCAUAAUAUUGAAGAUAUUAAGGAAAUUUUUAUUUUAGAAUA